AACGCAAAUUGCGCCCAAGGCUUCGGCCGAGGGCAUGUCUGCCUCAGCGUCGGCUUACACCCUCGCCUCCUUUCCUUGGUUGUAAAACACCGAGUGACAGAAGGCGGACCUGGCCUUCCCGGCUCUGCUAGAUCCGUCUGGCUCCGGGUUGGCUGAAGCUCAGAGGCUUGAGUAUAGACCCCGUUUGUAGGGAAAUGACUUGGUAGGUAGGCAACCCCUACAAAACCCUGUCGUUACCCGAGGGGACUUUACUGGAGGCCUUGCACGGUUCGGAUGUUCGCCUUUGGGCGACUCUGAAUGUUCAAACCUUCGACCUGAGCUCAGGCAAGACUACCCGCUGAACUUAA
rnacentral:misc_RNA from 1 species